rnacentral:rRNA from 1 species
CACCGCGGUUAUACGAGAGACCCAAGUCGAUGGCCUUCGGCGUAAAGCGUGGUUAGGAGACAACUAAAACUAAAGAUGAACGGUUUUAUAGCUGUUAUACGCUCAUAAAAAUCUGAAAAUCAACUACGAAAGUGACUUUAAAACCCUGAUCCCACGAAAGCUAUGGCA